rnacentral:rRNA from 1 species
UACGUAGGUGGCAAGCGUUGUCCGGAUUUACUGGGCGUAAAGAGCUCGUAGGCGGUUUGUCGCGUCUGCUGUGAAAACUCGGGGCUUAACCCCGGGCCUGCAGUGGGUACGGGCAGACUAGAGUGCGGUAGGGGAGACUGGAAUUCCCGGUGUAGCGGUGAAAUGCGCAGAUAUCGGGAGGAACACCGGUGGCGAAGGCGGUUCUCUGGGCCUGUACUGACGCUGAGGAGCGAAAGCGUGGGGAGCGAACAGG